rnacentral:rRNA from 1 species
CCUACGGGUGGCAGCAGGGGGGAAUAUUGCGCAAUGGGCGAAAGCCUGACGCAGCGACGCCGCGGGAGGGAUGAAGGUCGUCGGAUCGGAAACCGCUGUCAGCAGGGAAGAACGGUCACGGGGCUAAGCAGCAGUGAAUGGACGGUACCUGCAAAGGAAGCACCGGCUAACUCCGGGCCAGCAGCCGCGGUAAUACGGAGGGUGCGAGCGUUACUCGGAAUUACUGGGCGUAAAGCGCUCGUAGGCGGUAUGUCAAGUCAAGGGUGAAAUCCCCGCGCUCACCGUGGGAACUGCCUUUGAGACUGGCAAACUGGCGUGUUUGAGAGGCUAGUGGAAUUCCAGUUGU